AACGCGAAGAACCUUACCUGGCCUUGACAUCCAGAGAACUUAGCAGAGAUGCUUUGGUGCCUUCGGGAACUCUGAGACAGGUGCUGCAUGGCUGUCGCCAGCUCGUGUUGUGAAAUGUUGGGUUAAGUCCCGCAACGAGCGCAACCCUUAUCCUUUGUUGCCAGCGGUUCGGCCGGGAACUCAAAGGAGACUGCCGGUGAUAAACCGGAGGAAGGUGGGGAUGACGUCAAGUCAUCAUGGCCCUUACGGCCAGGGCUACACACGUGCUACAAUGGCGCAUACAAAGAGAAGCGACCUCGCGAGAGCAAGCGGACCUCAUAAAGUGCGUCGUAGUCCGGAUUGGAGUCUGCAACUCGACUCCAUGAAGUCGGAAUCGCUAGUAAUCGUAGAUCAGAAUGCUACGGUGAAUACGUUCCC
rnacentral:rRNA from 1 species